UACGUAGGGUGCAAGCGUUGUCCGGAAUUAUUGGGCGUAAAGAGCUCGUAGGCGGUCUGUCGCGUCGGGUGUGAAAACCCAGGGCUCAACCCUGGGCCUGCAUUCGAUACGGGCAGACUAGAGUUCGGUAGGGGAGACUGGAAUUCCUGGUGUAGCGGUGAAAUGCGCAGAUAUCAGGAGGAACACCGGUGGCGAAGGCGGGUCUCUGGGCCGAAACUGACGCUGAGGAGCGAAAGCGUGGGGAGCAAACAGG
rnacentral:rRNA from 1 species